rnacentral:rRNA from 1 species
AUUGAACGCUGGCGGCAGGCUUAACACAUGCAAGUCGAGCGGGGGAGGUUGCUUCGAUAACUGACCUAGCGGCGGACGGGUGAGUAAUGCUUAGGAAUCUGCCUAUUAGUGGGGGACAACAUUCCGAAAGGGAUGCUAAUACCGCAUACGCCCUACGGGGGAAAGCAGGGGAUCUUCGGACCUUGCGCUAAUAGAUGAGCCUAAGUCGGAUUAGCUAGUUGGUGGGGUAAAGGCCUACCAAGGCGACGAUCUGUAGCGGGUCUGAGAGGAUGAUCCGCCACGCUGGGACUGAGACACGGCCCAGACUCCUACGGGAGGCAGCAGUGGGGAAUAUUAGACAAUGGGCGGAAGCCUGAUCCAGCCAUGCCGCGUGUGUGAAGAAGGCCUUUUGGUUGUAAAGCACUUUAAGCGAGGAGGAGGCUACUAGUACUAAUACUACUGGAUAGUGGACGUUACUCGCAGAAUAAGCACCGGCUAACUCUGUGCCAGCAGCCGCCGUAAUAC